rnacentral:lncRNA from 1 species
UUUAUACAUUUAAAAGUUUAUUUAUAUCUUACAUAUCUGGCCAUUAUAUAACCAGGACUACAUGAGACCCUUUCUCAAAAAGUUUCAGUUAAAUAAUCACAUUUAUUGGCCAAAAUACAUAGUUCCUUUGAGGAGUGUAAGGUUCCGAGAUUUAAAUAAGUAUCUUAUGAAGGGAAAAGAGCUUGUUAUCCCAAACUGGGAGACUAGGGUGAAAACACGAGCAUAAAUUACUCUGACUAAUGUGAUGCUGAAUGAAGGUGGUCCGAUCGGCCCCCGUUUCACACUGCGCAGAAAAGCAAGGAGCACAGAAGUCACCCAAGGCACACCGGCACCAGGGCUCCAGGAGGGUGCUGACUAGCAGACAGCAGCUUUCCCGGUAAGGUCCUGGGACCGUAGGCGCCUGCCACUUAACGCUGGCGGUUAGUUACGCCUGUAACAGGCGACAAGACUGUUUUGGACACGUCUCCCCUACUCCGGGUCUGGAAAUCCAGUAGUCGACCCUCGGACCCCCCAACUGCGACUCGCCCGGCCGCUCGCCACCGCACCUCCAGCUCUAUAUUGUGUGGGGACAAAAAUGACUCGAUGGUGCAGUCCCUGCGCCACCCUUCUGGAAGAAAUGGGGCACGUUAUUUUCUAUCUACACUGCGAACGCAACGCUGGGACGAAAGCGCUACUGCGGGCCCAGGACUGUGGCGAGCAGGACCGACGCCCUUUUCCUGUCACACUGAGAAGCCCGAGCGGCCGCCCGGAGGGCUCUCUGACGGAGAAGGUUCCCUCAAGACCCUCAAAUAACUGGACCUGCUGGACGGGUCAAGUGGCGCCAGACGUGGGGCACGAGGUAUGACCACCCUCCGGACAACGGAUUCAAGAGGUACCGCGCAGACAGUGAGACAGUUCCCCAUCACUUCGCCCGAGUGUCGCGGACGUCGAGAAGUAAGCCUGGGCAUAAAAUUGUUGUCCCAUUCACCAUGGGGAAUGUUCUUGUCCAAAGAGACAGUUUUUACUCAGGAGAUGAAGGGGUCUCUUUAGGAGAGAGGGAUAAGAGUUAAGAAAAAGGAUUUAAUAAAUUUUUAUUCAUUUUGUGGACGAGAGAUGUCCAUGGCUGCUAUUGAAUGGUCCUGAAAUACACCCUUUAACUUGGAAUAAAGUAGGCAAAGAUAUCAAUGCUUUAAUAAAACAAGGAGAUGUCCCUGAGUCCUUUUUUAGCUAUUAGGGAAUCGUCAGAGAUCUCCUUAAACAGGCAGAAGAGGGCAGAGAGGGCGCUCGCCUCCUAGCCCUUACUGAAGAUUUUUUAGAAAACUCCCAAAUUGCGGUCUCGAGAAACUAAGCCGCAGGCGAAUUGUCAGUCUCGACUGUCGCUGGCUAUCAUCGAUUAUCGAUGCCCCGGUCCCUAAGGACUCCCUGCCUUCCCCUCUUUCUCCCCAAAUUACAUUAGAUUCUAGAAAAGGGGCUACUGCUCAACUCCCUGUUAGACCAAAAAGGAUUUACCCCAUUUUGUAUAAGGAGUUGUCAGAUGAACCCCUCGAUCCUGCCUCGGAGGCAGAAUUGGAUGAGGAAGUCUUUAAAUAUGAACAAGUCCACUAUGGUCCCAGGCCCAGUGCCUAUCUUACUAUCGAGCCCUUCUUUAUUUGCCCCCCUUCCCCCCUAAUCCUCGGCCUGUAUCUCUGGCCCCUCCGUCCAUUCAGCGAUUACUUCAAACU